GGGGCUUCUCAUUUGACGCAACUACAGCUAAGUUACUGGUAAAGGAAAUAAGUGAGAAUACUUCCAUCCUUGAGAUGAUACCAAAGCUCCACACGGAAAAGAAGUAAAAAUUGCUAUCGCUCGGUUUUUUCGGCUAUGUUUUAAGCUUUGAUACAGUUUUGUUUAUCACCUCAAAUGAAAUUGAAUCCAAUGCAAUUGUGGAAGAUGAAAUAUGGCAAUGAAAAUGUUGCUUUGGCUUUCAGGCUGGCUUAUCGAGGAGGUUCAUCACGGUCACGCCAGAAGCUGAAGUUCUGAAAGCGAAGCAGCUGAUGAUAGAUUACAUUGAAGAUAGGGUCUUGCAUAAGGAACUUCAAGAGCUUUAGGGUGUUCCCUUCUGGUCCAUUUGCUCCAGGACUGAAUGUAUCCUUGAUGAAGCAAGACCUUGUAGCUGUUCU
rnacentral:misc_RNA from 1 species